GUCUGACUUAAGGACACACAGUAAGUGGUAAAACCAGUAUUCAUACCAAGGUAAGUCUGAUAAAUUUAAUAUUCUUUUGAUAUAUGGAAAUUUCUAUUAAGUGGCAGCGGUUUUCUAGAGGGCUGUGCUGAGAUGGACAGCAAGGUCUUGCUAUGGCUCAGCAGCAAGAAGCAUAGCGAUGAAUUUGCAAUAUCUUCUGUGAGUAGGAGAGGUAAGGGUGGCAGCAGCUGCUGUAAAUAAUUAUUUCUCCAUCUCUAACAGGUGAAAACAGAACUAAUGAUGUUUUCUGAUUUUGAGAAUUCCAGAAUGAUUAGGGUUUCAUCUGCACUACUAACAACUUCAGCUCCAAAGAGGACUUUCACAAAUGAGCUGGUUUGUGUUGAGAUUUCCAAGUGCCUGCAUUUUGAUCAUUUUAUCACACAAUAGUGGCUCAUGCUGUCCCCACUAUGACUUCUGUGUCCCCACACCUCUUCUCUGGCUGCCGCUGCCAUUUUGGUCUGCUUACAGCAUCAUCUCCAUGAGAUCAAAGUGUUCCAAUUAUAUCCUGAGGAGGCUGUUGUUUGAUCUAUUUUUCAACUGUAAGAUGGUCCUUAAUAACAUCAAUAAUAUGUAUUAAUUGGUGGUUCAAUGUUUUUCUCGCAAGAAACCAAGUGAAUAUUAAAAAUAUUCCUAAUUGACAAGGAAGUACAGGAGCUGACUUGCUAGGAUCACAGAACCAACAACAAGAGUGCGUCUGCAUGUCAAGACUCUGACCUACUGUGUGGGACUCUUUUCAUUACUCCAUCCUCAUCCUCCACCAGCCAUAGCCACCGAAGAACACUCACUUAUUUAAGCAAACUCUGUUUUUAGAAUUGAAGAUGAUAAUUAUUUAUUGCUUUUUUCAGAGUUUUUAUUUUUUAACAUUUAUUACAACAAAUUAGAAUAUAAGAUGAUGUGUCACGCCACCUUCCCCCAGAACUGAUUCUGCUUAUUUGACGGUUUGGAUAGAGGGCGGCUUUCCCUAUUGCAUGCUUUCUCAUACUGCAUCUUUAGACAAAGGUGACCAUCCCAUAGAGAUAGCGAUGCAGAUCUUGCUAGAGCUUCUAAACAACUAAAUAACCAACUGAUGAUCAAACAUUCAUCCAUCCCUUUAUAAGUUCAUUUAUUUAAUAAAUAUUCACCUUAUUGAAUUAGUGGGAAGAUAAUGAUGAAUAAGCUAUAGUAUAGUGGAUGCAGUAGAGAAGGAACUUUAUAAAUCCACAGAAAUAUAUACUUGAUCUUUGGGGUGAACUAUUGGGUAUCAUAAAAGCACUUAGUGUGCACCAGUCUGUGUUCUAAAUAGUUCACAUUUAGGAACUCAAUUAAUAUUCAUUUAUAUCUGAGAGAGAACUAUUAUUUACCCCAACCUACAGAUAAUAUAAUGGACACCCAAAUGAAUUAAGUAACUUUCUCAAGGUGGAUAUAGAGUAACUAAAUUAAGGCUUGAAAUUCCGCUGUCUGACUAAAUUCCUCCAUGCAGCCAAAGUACCUUGUGUGUGCUAUUUUGUCAUUCUCAAGAUUCUACAAUAUACAUGGUCAUUUGUGUGCAUGUUUCAUUUUUUUUUUUUUUGCUAGAUUCUUUACCCUCAGAGAGAUAAAUCAUAUUUCAUGUAUUUGGGCCUUACCCAUGGUAUCUAGCAUCAUGUUUUGGAAAUAGUUGCUUUACAAACAAAUUAAAAUCAUUGUUCUUUAUAAACUCGUAACUAAAUAAAAAGUAGCAAUAAUAUUAAACAUAAGGAAUGAGACAAGCACAAUGAGCAAAGAUAGCAAAAUGUAGGCUCUUGUAGUAAUGAAGGAAGAUCUCAACACUCAAAGAAUAAUCCUGCUCUAUUGUUAAAUCAAAUAGGAUGUCUAAUUAGCUAAGCAAGGAUUUUUCUUUCUUUUUUCCUCCCCCAGAAACCCAUUCAAUUUUUAAAAUAUUCAAAAUUCCUAAAUGAAACAAUUUUAAUCAUCUAUCUGUAAGUUGGUAGCACUAUAGGAAAUUGACAGCCUGGCAUCAGAGUUAAACACCUUUUUAAUUCUUUUUGCUUCUAAUUUGUAUCAUUAGUGCAUCUUAGUCUGUCAAAGUAAUCAAAGCCAUCAGUGUGGGAGAAAAGGUGACUUGUGCGUACGAGUAUCAUGUAUUUAUUAAUAUGAUUAUUUUAGUCAAUUAGUUGAAAAGAACUUAUUUGUAAUGACUACAGUCACUGACCAUGUUUAUAUUAGCAUACUUCCACUAUGGUGAAGGUCCUGUCUACGAGUAAGAAAGCUAUAGCUAGCAUCAAGAAAUGUUAAAACAGCUCUGUAUUCAUGCAGUAUGAGGACACACAUGUGUGUCCUCUGUGUAAGGAAAAGCAGGGUAGUAAAGUCAAAUCAAAAUAUUUGGGAU
rnacentral:tRNA from 10 species